ACAGGUGCGUGCAUGGCUGUCGUCAGCUCGUGUUGUGAAGUGUUGGGUUAAGUCCCGCAACGAGCGCAACCCUUAUCCUUUGUUGCCAUCGUUUCGGCCGGGAACUCAAAGGAAACUGCCGGUGAUAAACUGAAGAAAGGUGGGAAUAACGUCAAGUCUUCUUGCCCCUUACGACUGGGGCUACCCCCGUGCUACAAGGGCGCAUACAAAGAGAAGCGACCUCGCGAGAUGAGCGGACCUCAUAAAGUGCGUCGUAUUCCGGAUUGGAGUCUGCAACUCGACUCCAUGAAGUCGGGAAUCGCUAGUAAUCGUGAAUCAGAAUGCCACGGU
rnacentral:rRNA from 1 species